rnacentral:rRNA from 1 species
UACGGGGGGGGCAAGCGUUGUUCGGAAUUACUGGGCGUAAAGGGCUCGUAGGCGGCCAACUAAGUCGGAUGUGAAAUCCCCAGGCUCAACCUGGGAACUGCAUCCGAUACUGGAUGGCUUGAAUUCGGGAGAGGGAUGCAGAAUACCAGGUGUAGCGGUGAAAUGCGUAGAUAUCUGGAGGAAUACCGGUGGCGAAGGCGGCAUCCUGGACCGACAUUGACGCUGAGGCACGAAAGCGUGGGGAGCAAACAGG